CAGUUUUCAAGGCUCUCGCGAUAGUGGCCAUGCUUUCUUCAAGGGUUCCAGCAUUUCUCUUCGCGUUAGUGCUUAUUAUGGCAAUAACCGAGGUUCCAGCGAGGUUAGCUAAAUUUGCAGUACCAAAUCGGUGCACGAAUACACCGUGUUCUCCUGGUUGCCCUCCAUAUUGCAAGUGCGGAGGAGCUAAGACAAACAACUACUGCGCUGAACUGUAGCAGUGAAUAAAACGGUGCUUGAUUCAUCGUCCACCGGAAUAAACUAAAAAAAAGCUCAAGCAAAACGUGUCCCCAUGUUAUAUUCAGCGUGUUAGAAGUUAAGAAACACACAUAGCAUGGUGUGCAUUGCUAUAUGUAUAUAGCUGUCAUAGCCCUCUUUCGCAUGGA